GCAUACCUCUUCAGUGCCGAAGUGGCGAAAUCGGUAGACGCAGUUGAUUCAAAAUCAACCGUAGAAAUACGUGCCGGUUCGA
rnacentral:tRNA from 2 species